rnacentral:misc_RNA from 1 species
AACUUUCAGCAAUGGAUCUCUUGGCUCUCGCAUUGAUGAAGAACGCAGCGAAAUGCGAUAAGUAAUGUGAAUUGCAGAAUUCAGUGAAUCAUCGAAUCUUUGAACGCAUCUUGCGCUCCUUGGUAUUCUGAGGAGCAUGCCUGUUUGAGUGUCAUUAAAUUCUCAACUACACUGACUUGGUGUGGCUUGGAUUUGGGGGUUGUGGGCUUUUUGUAGUCUGCUCCCCUGAAAUUAAUUAGCGGUACCUUGGUGGAACUGUCUACAGGUGUGAUAAUUAUCUACAUCCUAGACAUCUGCUGGAAUGCUGCUUUCUAGACCUUACUUGUAUUGACAAUCUUGACCUCAAAUCAGGUAGGACUACCCGCUGAACUUAAGCAUAUCAAUAAGCGGAGGCU